CUUGAGAUGCUGCAGUGAAAAUCUUAGUAAAGUGGAAAAAGGCAGAAAUAGUUCAUUUGUUGUAUAGCAAAAUUGCAAUUCAAAAUAAUUUCCAUGGCUUUCAAUGAUGGACUAAAAUCAACAAAAGAACCUCUAGCAAAAAAAUUGAAAAGUAAACUCCCAAAGAUUUAAAGCCCAAGACCCCCAACUCAGCCUGUGAAGACCUGAGACAGGAAGCCAGGACCAGUUCUACUUUGCAUGUCAGAGCCAACAGCCUCUCUUGGUCUCUCUUGGUCUUUUUAUUCUGAUGUGCAGAAGAAGGAAGUUCUUCUAAACCAUAGAAGAAUUUGGAUGCUUUAGAGACUUCCAGAGAAAGGUGUUUGAAGAAAUCAGAAGAGUUCUUAGGAGACAGGCAGUAGAAAAAGAG